ensembl:lncRNA
GUGAGAGCCAGAUCCUUCAAAGUUGGAAAAAUCAUAAUAAUGGAGUCCCCGCCAUCCUGCUGUGUUUAUAAAGAGAUGUUUUCUUCCUGAGCUACACAGCAUGGCAGGCUUAAUCUGAAAUUUCUUUUUAAUCAUAGCAGGAGUCCCAAUUAACGUGUCGGGUAAUCGUUCGAGUAGAACCGGAGCUUCAUGGCUGUGGGGAUGAGCAGGAAUGGACCCUUGGGGCUGGGACCAAGAGCUCUGAGCAUCCCCUGCCACGUUUGGGGCACACAGAGCACUGAGCAUCCUCUGCAACGUUUUAGGUGCACAGAGCUCUGAGAAUCCCCUGUGACAUUUGGGGUGCACAGAACUCUGAGCAUCCCCUGCAACAUUUGGGGCACACAUUGCUCUGAGCAUCCCCCGCCACGUUUGGGGUGCACAGAGCUCUGAGCACCCCCGUGCCACAUUUGGAGCCCUGGGCUCACUCAGCUGCAGCAGGGCACAGGGCUCAGCUCCGGGCACUGCAGGGCGCCGUGUUGCCUCUCCGUGCCCCUUCCCAGAGGAGGCACACGGUGCAUUCCUGCUGCAGGAUGCAGCCGUGCUCCAGCGCGUGCCGGCGGGACCGGCCCUGACCUACUUUCCUUUGUUGCGGGAGCUGCAGGCAGGAUGCAGGAUGCUGUGUGCAGGCAGCGUGCAGGCAGGAUCCGGCUUCGCUUUGCUCCUGCACAUCUCCUGACACCGCCACCGCUGUUUCCACCCACCGACCUCAAUCUAUUUAGACCAAUCCCAAUAGCAGGACGCUCCAACCCACCCUGUCCAUCCAGCACAGAAAACUGCAGCGCCCCGCAAUUUCCAAAUGCUGGACCUACAUGGCCAGGGUUGAACCCGGCGCUGCGCUGACCUGGAAAGCGAAGCUCUUUAAAAUUCAAACGUGCACCCGUGGCGGAUUUCAGCGGUGCUACGGAGAACGCAGCCCUCCUCCUGCACAGCUCCUGCAGCACUUUGGUUGGGAUGCUGAGCUGCAGCCCUGAGGUUUGGGGCUCAGAGGCUCGCUGCAGUCACUGGGGCUCGUGCAAAUUGGUCUUCAGAGGGAAAGAGCUCCGCCACCGCAUGCACAAACACUCCUCAGCAACCGACUAAAUUGCUCCACCGGCCACCUGGGUUAACACAGAGGCUGGAUUUUGCAGAUUUGGAGAUAAAAGGCUGCGAUGGUUAACUCGCAUCCUGCAGCCCUUGUAAGGCAGCCAUUCUGCACGAGGCUUCCCUCCUGCAAUGCUUUAAGGAUGGAGCAUUUUAAUUGAU